rnacentral:rRNA from 1 species
UCGAGAAUAGUCUACAAUGGGGGAAACCCUGAUAGUGCGACGCCGCGUGCGCGAGGAAUCCCUUCGGGGUGUAAAGCGCUUUUCUGUGUGAGCAGUGCCAUUAUGGUUAAGAGCUGUAGUGGCGGGAUAUAG